rnacentral:rRNA from 1 species
CGGACCUCAGAUCAGACAAGACUACCCGCUGAGUUUAAGCAUAUCACUAAGCGGAGGAAAAGAAACUAACAAGGAUUUCCUUAGUAACGGCGAGCGAACCGG